GCGGCGGACGGGUGAGUAACGCGUGGGUAACCUACCCCAAAGUCCGGGAUAACAGCGGGAAACCGCUGCUAAUACCGGAUGCCUUUACCUUGGGGCAUCUUGAGGUAAAGAAAGGUAACGCUUUGGGGUGGGCCCGCGUCCCAUUAGCUAGUUGGUGAGGUAACGGCUCACCAAGGCGACGAUGGGUAGCCGGCCUGAGAGGGUGGACGGCCACACUGGGACUGAGACACGGCCCAGACUCCUACGGGAGGCAGCAGUAGGGAAUAUUGCGCAAUGGACGGAAGUCUGACGCAGCGACGCCGCGUGAGCGAUGAAGGUCUUCGGAUCGUAAAGCUCUGUCCUUGGGGAAGAAGGUCUUCGGACUUGACGGUACCCAAGAAGAAAGCCCCGGCUAACUACGUGCCAGCAGCCGCGGUAAUACGUAGGGGGCGAGCGUUGUCCGGAAUUACUGGGCGUAAAGGGUGCGUAGGCGGCCCUUUAAGUCGGAUGUGAAAGCCCGCG
rnacentral:rRNA from 1 species